rnacentral:lncRNA from 1 species
CUUACUCUGCUUGUGCAGGUAACAUUGUCUGGCCAGGUUUGGGCUUUCUGUACUCUCAAAAAUACGCAGAACACUGGCACUCCGUCUGCUGUGGCAGAAGAUGACUAAUGCAUGCUUGAUGGAGCAGACAAAUUGUUAAGAACCGAGGAGUGGCUGUAUGAGGUCAGCCCAAUAUAGACUCUCUAGCCAAGCAUCGCACCUCUGGCAGAUAUAAGAAAGGGAUGCCUGGGCAAAGGGACUCUGCUGACCUCCCAACCAUGCAUAUUCCAGCCUGCAACAAUUUAUGCCUCGUUCUAAACAUAAGGCUGCCUGAGUCCUGUCCUGAAACUCCUUCAGCUUUCCAGAUACAGAAACAUUAACCACAAGGACAGGAGACAAACAACAAGAACUGUAAGAGAAAAGGAAAGGAAAUGGCAGAAGGGAAUACGAGGGAAAUGAAUGGGAGAGUCUUAUGAUAUCAGUUCCUGCAUUAAUAACAACUGAAGCAUCCGCACUGGAACCCAGUAAAGUCCACAGCAGAGUUGCUGUUGUUUUCAGCAGAUCGGUGAAACUAAUACUGGAUAUCUGUAAGAAACCUCGAAUACCAUGAAGGCUUUUAAAAUAUUGUUGAGGCUAGAAAGGAGCAAUAAGAAUUAUCUGUGGAUAUUUUUGACAUAUAAUUUUUAAACUUAAACUCUGUGACAAAUAUAAAUGAUUCUUCUGUUGUUCCAAUGACAAGAGAGAGAAAUGAGGAGUGUUCAUUAAAAAAACUGACUAUAGUCAGUCAGAAAUUUACAAGGGAAACUUUCUGCCAAUAAAAAAAAGUUGCUUUCCA